UACGUAGGGUGCGAGCGUUGUCCGGAAUUAUUGGGCGUAAAGAGCUCGUAGGCGGUCUGUCGCGUCGGAUGUGAAAACCCAGGGCUCAACCCUGGGCCUGCAUUCGAUACGGGCAGACUAGAGUACGGCAGGGGAGACUGGAAUUCCUGGUGUAGCGGUGAAAUGCGCAGAUAUCAGGAGGAACACCGGUGGCGAAGGCGGGUCUCUGGGCCGAAACUGACGCUGAGGAGCGAAAGCGUGGGGAGCGAACAGG
rnacentral:rRNA from 1 species